CAGCAAAAGCCUGAAUCCUCUCCACUUCUCCAUGCCCCCUCUGCUCCUCUCCCUCCCCUCUUCACGUCCAAGAGGUUGGGCGUCCAUCUGGUGCUUGUCCAAGGUGUAGUGGCUUCCUGAUUAGAAGGCUGCAAAGAUUUGUCAAGAAGCUGCUGCUCCAGCUUCAGAAGAUCUUUUGAAGAUCUUCCAGAUCUGAUUUUUGGAGC
rnacentral:lncRNA from 1 species